GUACUACAAACUAAAACAUAGUAGUACACAUUUCAGAAGUUGUUCUUUUCAUUACACUUUGACACUGAGUCUGUCUGUGAGAUAGCUAGUACCAGAAGUACCCGUAAGUGAAAGUAGUACACCUAAAAUUUCAUAGUACAGACAUCAUUCAUGUACUGCAAAGUACAAAACAUUCCUCCUUCUGAGAUCACAUAUAGGAAUCAGAUUGAAUCAUACAUACACUCGAACCUCGAGAGUGCAUUUUUGGCGGAAUCGUAACACAAAUUUUAACGAGAAGAGUUCGGGCAACGUUGUUUAAUCUUAGAAAGAUGAGGUAAGGUAAUCUAGAUUGUAGAGACAGGACAAAGCAGGGGAACAGGCAGAGCAUGGAUGGAGCUAUCAACACAACAAAGUGAGAGGAGAAAUCUGUUGAGGUUUUGCUCAUGCACUGCCUCUUCCCUGGCUCUGUCUCUAUUUCUCCUUCCCUUGUUCCUCUUCAUUUAUUCACAAUAAUUUAUAUUCAAAUGUGUUCAUAGGUUCAACUCAAGAAGGUAUGAACAUACUCUGGCUAUUGAAAACUCCGUUUGACCCAUUAACUUUUUUCGCACCACUAAUCCUCUCUUAGAUGCCUGAACACGCAUUAUCACUUCUACCGCAUUCUUAGAUGCCUGAUCAUGGGAAAAUGCUACUAUCCCACUACUUGAUUUACAUUUUCACACUUUCUUUUUUUCAAGCAAUAGGUAUCUUCUAUGGGAUGCAGGUACUAUUCAGCAAUGGUUUCAUUCCAAGUAUUUAAGGCCACGCAGAAAGAUAUUUUGAAUGAAAAGUACAAAGAGAUUGAAAGAUUACUCAAUAUCAUCAAGUUAUCUGAGUUUUGUUUUGCAGGAAUGAUACGCUAGUUGCAUGGUCUACAUUGAACAAACUCACCAACGAAAACCAUGAAUGCCAUUAAAUGAUAAGGGAGGUGCAGAAAACACACUUGUAGCAAGAGAAAGAAAAGAAAGUUAUCUCAUUCAACAAAUCAGAAGGAACUUACAUGAUGGAAUCUGUAUGAGAAAAGCACAAGGACUUAGAAGGGUCAACUAGAACACAGGGUUGAUCUUCUCCCACUCCCAAAUUUAUGGUCCACUUUUCCUGAUUCUAUAGCUUUAAAUCCCUCAAAAGAGACACGUAAUGCUCUUGAACAUCCCCUAUACACUUUUGUCCUCCAACCAUGGUUGCAACAACCUCCCACAGUUCUGGGUGGUUCUCAUCUACCACUACUAAAGCCAGCUCAAACAAUUUGUUCUCCUUCAAACUCCACCCACACAAACCCUUAGGAGAAUCAUCCAUGUCAUUUGUUCUGUAUGACAUCUUCAGAGGACUAUGACUCUGAGGAAUUACCAUAAAUUUACAUUAUGGUAUUUUUUAAAGGCGAUUCAUAUCUCAAGACUACAUUUGUUGAUUGACCUGCAAAAUUGCCUUGUCUUUCGUGUCAUUAGAAAAGCUACGUGAGAUUAAUUAAAACUCAACUUUUGAUAAUGAAAGUUUAUUUGUUAUGGACCGAAACAACAAACUGAUAAUAACAUGGAGACAAAAUGGAUUACCUCAAUAUUCAUUUAUUGCAAUAAUUAGUAUGUCUCCAUUUUAUUUUAUUUUUUUUCCAGUUCCAAUUUACAUCGCUUGAAGUCAUGUGGUUCUAGCCGGCUUUAUUGGAAAUUUAUCAUCGUGUAAAAUUUAUACAUGAACAUGGUAGAAGAACGGUCAGAAAUUGUUCGCCAA